CUCCAUACCAAACAACGCCCCUUAUCCUAGUUUGGUGAAAAGAAACCUUACGCUACGUUGCUACUCGAUCACAAUUUCUAUUUCGAUUUUGGUUUCAGUCGCUGACCAAAUGCAAAUGCCUCCCUCUCGGCUGUCUUCAGCAACUCUUCUGAUUGAUGGGUUUUAAAUUUUUCAGAAUUUUCGGGGCCAACUUCUCUGCCCACUUAGAAAUUCCUCUGUUUCGCGAGCUGCGCUAAAGCUCCGCUUUGGUAGCCUCACCUCAAAACCUACAGAAUCCAUCCUUCUCAGAAUCCCAAAGAACCACUUCUAAUGGGUAUCAGAGAAAGCAAUCAAACCAGAAAGUAUACGAAAAGGAUUUAUGUGGAGAGAUUAAAAACAUUGGGAGCAUUGAAUUUGUAUUUUGGAUUUAAAUUUGUGUAUAUUUAAAAGAAAUGUAAUAUAAAAUUGUAUUAACUUUAUUCUCAAUCUGCACAAAUUUAGUUAAGUCCUGAAGUACAUGCUCCCAAAUACUUGAUCAGGUCGAAGGAAAAAAUUUCCUUCGGAUAAGUUGUGAGUAAACAACAAUUCAUUAAACUAUGGGAAUACAUUUGUUUUUGCUCCUCA